rnacentral:rRNA from 1 species
AUUGAACGCUGGCGGCAUGCCUUACACAUGCAAGUCGAACGGCAGCACGGGAGCAAUCCUGGUGGCGAGUGGCGAACGGGUGAGUAAUGUAUCGGAACGUGCCCAGUCGUGGGGGAUAACGUAGCGAAAGCUACGCUAAUACCGCAUACGAUCUGUGGAUGAAAGCGGGGGACCGUAAGGCCUCGCGCGAUUGGAGCGGCCGAUAUCAGAUUAGGUAGUUGGUGGGGUAAAGGCCUACCGAGCCGACGAUCUGUAGCUGGUCUGAGAGGACGACCAGCCACACUGGGACUGAGACACGGCCCAGACUCCUACGGGAGGCAGCAGUGGGGAAUUUUGGACAAUGGGCGCAAGCCUGAUCCAGCAAUGCCGCGUGCAGGAUGAAGGCCUUCGGGUUGUAAACUGCUUUUGUACGGAGCGAAAAGGCUCUCUCUAAUACAGGGGGCUCAUGACGGUACCGUAAGAAUAAGCACCGGCUAACUACGUGCCAGCAGCCGCAGUAACAC